rnacentral:rRNA from 1 species
UACGUAGGGGGCUAGCGUUGUCCGGAAUCAUUGGGCGUAAAGCGCGUGUAGGCGGUCCGGUAAGUCCGCUGUGAAAGUCGGGGGCUCAACCCAGGAAGUGCACUCGAAACUGCCGGGCUAGAGUAUCGGAGAGGUUGGUGGAAUUCUCGGCGUAGAGGUGAAAUUCGUAGAUAUCGAGAGGAACACCGGUGGCGAAGGCGGCCAACUGGACGAAUACUGACGCUGAGACACGAAAGCGUGGGGAGCAAACAGG